GACGUAGGGGACGAGCGUUGUCCGGAUUCAUUGGGCGUAAAGAGCUCGUAGGCGGUUUGUCGCGUCUGCGUGUGAAAACUCGGGGCUUAACUCCGGGCCUGCAGUGGGUACGGGCAGACUAGAGUGCGGAGGGGAGACUGGAAUUCCUGGUGUAGCGGUGAAAUGCGCAGAUAUCAGGAGGAACACCGGUGGCGAAGGCGGGUCUCUGGGACGGUACUGACGCUGAGACGCGAAAGCGUGGGGAGCGAACAGG
rnacentral:rRNA from 1 species